GCUGGGAUAGGUCAGUUGGUAGAGGAUGAGACUCUUAAUCUCAGGGUUGUGGGUUCAACCCUGAACCCACAAAUGUUUCCUGCA